GAUCAGAUCGGUGGCCCAACUUUGCUCUGGAGUCUCAAGGAGUUACUAUAGGAAUUCAUCCAUUUGAAGAGAUAGACGUCGAAGAUGUUACUUCAAGAAAUUCAGUUGAGCUUCAGUUUUUCAGCUAAGAAGAAAUCUACGUUUGAUGAGGAAUAGGUAUUAUGAUUUAUAUGGACAACCAGUAAUUUCAUAUAGAAAACUUUCCUAUAUGAUGAAGAUGGAGACCAAUUACAGACCUUCAAACUUCCUGGCCAGAAGGAGGCGCAGAACACGCCGCCCUGUAAAUGGGGAGGAGCACUGAUUUUACAUAAGAUGACCUCAAAAACAUAGCAGAACCACAAGGCAUGUCGAUUGUUUGGAACAUCUUUCAGGGUACCACAUAUGGGCCCAAACGUUGUGAUUAAGGAAGAUCUCAUCUGCUUCCAGGACAAUGCUGGGCCUUUGCAGAUCUUCCGGGAUUUAUCAAUCGCAGUCACCCACAAAACCACCAUCACUCAUGUGUCCCUGGGUCAUAUUCCCAAGAUUGUAUCCCCAACUAGCACAACCUCCAGUGCUCCUAGAGAAUUUUCUGUCUAUGGAAAGAGAAGAAUUUAGAAGAUGAGAGUCAUUUGGGAACUUGCCUGUAUGAUAAAAAUGGAGACCAAUUACAGACCUUCAAACCUCUUGCUGAGAAUGUUGGUUCCUUCCGGUACGUGACUCAAGAGGUGAACAGCAACUGGGGACAUCCUAAUUACACCUUCCUCUAUAACUUCAGAGUACAUGGAAAACUUGCUGAAUAACCAGUACAAGAAACAGGAAAGGAAAAGGGGAAAAAAAACAACCUUUUUUUCCUUUCAUAUAUAUAUUUUUUUGUAUGUUUAGGUCAUUAAUUUUAAGUCCUCACAACAUAUUUGCCAAACAUAUUUGUACAUGAAUAAAAGUAUGAGUUAAACAUUUAGGUGAAGAACAAAUGACCAAACAGAUAAACCAUAAGAAGACAAACACAACUGAAGAAGGAAAAAACAUUCACAUACAUAAUCAACAAUUGUCUUUAAUUUUAUUUACCAGGGUCAUACAUGUCUUAGUUUUCAUCUACAUGUUUUGCAUCUUUAACAAAUGAAUAAAAUGAAGACCAAACCUC